UGAGUAGAGCGGCGGACGGGUGAGUAACGCGUAGGAAUCUACCUAGUAGAAGGGGAUAGCCCGAGGAAACUCGGAUUAAUACCGUAUACCUCCUUCGGGAGAAAGAAGGCCUCUCUUUGAAGCUUUCGCUACUAGAUGAGCCUGCGUAAGAUUAGCUAGUUGGUGGGGUAACGGCUCACCAAGGCAACGAUCGGUAGCCGGCCUGAGAGGGCGGACGGCCACACUGGGACUGAGACACGGCCCAGACUCC
rnacentral:rRNA from 1 species